rnacentral:rRNA from 1 species
GACGAACGCUGGCGGCGUGCUUAACACAUGCAAGUCGAACGAAAAGGCCCUGCUUUUGUGGGGUGCUCGAGUGGCGAACGGGUGAGUAACACGUGAGUAACAUGCCCUUGACUUUGGGAUAACUUCAGGAAACUGGGGCUAAUACCGGAUAGGAGCUCCUGCUGCAUGGUGGUGGUUGGAAAGUUUCGGCGGUUGGGGAUGGACUCGCGGCUUAUCAGCUUGUUGGGGGGGUAGUGGCUUACCAAGGCUUUGACGGGUAGCCGGCCUGAGAGGGUGACCGGCCACAUUGGGACUGAGAUACGGCCCAGACUCCUACGGGCGGCAGCAGUGGAGAAUAUUGCACAAUGGGCGGAAGCCUGAUGCAGCAACGCCGCGUGCGGGAUGACGGCCUUCGGGUUGUAAACCGCUUUCGCCUGUGACGAAGCGUGAGUGACGGUAAUGGGUAAAGAAGCACCGGCUAACUACGUG